rnacentral:rRNA from 1 species
GAAUCUAGCUUCAGGAUGGGGACAACAGUGGGAAACUGCUGCUAAUACCCGAUGUGCCGAAAGGUGAAAGAUUUAUCGCCUGAAGAUGAGCUCGCGUCCGAUUAGCUAGUUGGUAGGGUAAGAGCCUACCAAGGCGACGAUCGGUAGCUGGUCUGAGAGGAUGACCAGCCACACUGGGACUGAGACACGGCCCAGACUCCUACGGGAGGCAGCAGUGGGGAAUUUUCCGCAAUGGGCGAAAGCCUGACGGAGCAAGACCGCGUGAGGGAGGAAGGCUCUUGGGUUGUAAACCUCUUUUCUCAGGGAAGAACAAAAUGACGGUACCUGAGGAAUCAGCCUCGGCUAACUCCGUGCCAGCAGCCGCGGUAAUACGGAGGAGGCAAGCGUUAUCCGGAAUUAUUGGGCGUAAAGCGUCCGCAGGUGGCACUUCAAGUCUGUCGUCAAAGACUGGGGCUUAACCCUGGAAAGGCGGUGGAAACUGAAGCGCUAGAGUGUGGUAGGGGUAGAGGGAAUUCCCGGUGUAGCGGUGAAAUGCGUAGAGAUCGGGAAGAACAUCGGUGGCGAAAGCGCUCUACUGGACCACAACUGACACUCAGGGACGAAAGCUAGGGGAGCG